AAGUCGUAACAAGGUUUCCGUAGGUGAACCUGCGGAAGGAUCAUUAACACGUAUCCAACGUUAAACCCCCCCGUGAAUAUUAAGCGUGCUCUUGCUGCCCGGUCAAUGGCCAGCAAUCCCUGGUAAAUCAUGUCGAACAGUAUUGAUUCAGGGACUUCUGCCCGACUGAGAAGUUACAGCGGCAAUAGAGCGCUUGAAGCAAGUGGUUUGGUUUCCCCUCAAAUUCACUUCAAUGAAUGAAAGUGUCAUUGAAGUGUGAUGGGGAGGACGCUUAACGAACACUGUAGGCCCCCUUAUCACCACAUGUCAGCGUAGGCCCUUCUGUCGUGGUUGGGCAUUAAAACGAACAACUGUUAACAAUGGAUAUCUUGGUUCUC
rnacentral:misc_RNA from 1 species